rnacentral:RNase_P_RNA from 1 species
GUGGCAUGACGCAUUAUCGCUUUGCAAUUUUUAUUGCAGGGAGGAAAGUCCGGACAGGGUAGAGCGCUGUACUGUCGAAAGAUAGAUAUUCGCAAGGGUAUGGAAAUGUAACAGAAAAUAACCGCCCUGUUUCAGGCAGGGUAAGGGUGAAAAGGUGAGGCAAGAGCUUACCGCGUUUGUGGCGACACAGACGGCAGUACAACCUGCAGCCUGCAAGACCAUGUAUAUCGGCGUUAAGGGUUGCUCGCCCGUGUCGAGGGGUAGGUCGCACAAGAUAAAUGAUAAUGGAUUACAGAAUCCGGCUUACAGUCAAGCCAUUAUG